UACGGGGGGAGCAAGCGUUGUUCGGAUUUACUGGGCGUAAAGGGCGCGUAGGCGGUCAGUGCAAGUCAGUUGUGAAAUCUCCGGGCUUAACUCGGAAAGGUCAACUGAUACUGCUCGACUAGAGUGCGGAAGGGGCAACUGGAAUUCUUGGUGUAGCGGUGAAAUGCGUAGAUAUCAAGAGGAACACCUGCGGCGAAGGCGGGUUGCUGGGCCGACACUGACGCUGAUGCGCGAAAGCGUGGGGAGCGAUCCGG
rnacentral:rRNA from 1 species